CAACAUUCCCAGCGACGCGAGAACCCAGGACGAGGCAGUCCAGGGCCUGGCGACCUCCGUCCGGUUCAGCGUGACCGAGAGGCAACCCGGCCAAGGCUGCCUACACCGAUGGCAUGCCUUGAGCACAGGGCCAGAGGUUAUUCUUGAAUAAGAAUAUUAAUUCUUGGACUCUGAGAGACACCUCUUCGUGAGUCAUCUCUUCUCUGGGCAGACAAGACAUAUCUGAAAAACUGAUCAAAGAGGACCGUCUAUGUCAGACCACAGGAUUUUGAGUGGACAUUUUGGAAGGGAUGUUAAUGGGAAUAUUCUCACCAUUCAGGACCCUCCCCUCCCUCGCUCCCUCCCCCCAGGAAUCAACAACCCAUUUGCUCUUGGUGUUUUUCUUUGCCUUUUUUCCCUUUUAGGUUGGAAACUAAUGACCAUGCUUCAUAAACACUAAACACCUAGUAUAAACAUACAUGAAUGUUUAGUUUUCUGGUGAAACUAAUAAAAUUUAAACUAAUCAAAUUUGA